UCUCAAUUUUGAACCAGUCCAGCGUAGUGUAAACAUAACUUUUAUGUGCACUGGGAAACCAGAAGAUUUGUGACUUGCUUUGUUAUGACAUUCACUCUGUGGGGUGGUCUGAAACUGAACCCACUGUAUCUCUGAGGUCUGCAUGUACUGUGAUUUGAAGGAAAACAGAGCUGCCAGACUAAGACCAACUGCUCAGAACCCCGUCCUUUCCAGAACUUAGCUCCUGGACGGAUCUGAAGCACAGAGAGCUCAGCUGUUAAUGACCAGAGUCACGCGUGCUGGUCAGACUGUGGCUGAUGUGCAGGCUGGCUUCGCAGAUGCAUGGUCUGCUUGGCCUGUGAUGCUCUGUGGCUUCCGUCCCGAAAUUCUGAAUAAUUUGAGUUUUGAAUUUGUGUUUUGUUAGUGAAGUCUGCUGGGACAGUGAAGCAUGGGCCAGGUAUUUGGAGGCUCUUCAAAGUGUUUUAUGCUUCUUUGUUUCCAGACAGAUGUGGAAUAGAGUACAAGGAACUGAGGGAAACUGGCCAUUAGUGAAAGGUUUUGUGUUUAUCUGGCUCGGGCUUGGGCUGUGUUUUCUGUUUGCUGUAGCUAUAAGGUGUUAGAGGCUAAACUUGCUCUGUGUCCCUGUUUUUGCCUCCCCUGUGGUCCUUGGAUUUCCCCAGAGGCUUCUUGAAUCUUCCGAGAGGCACAGUUCUCGGAGGUGUAUUCCCCAGUUGUCAUACCGGAGCCCCAGUGAUCUGGAAGGUGAUGUGGAGGGAAAGCGUCUGUGGUCCUACAAUUGACAGUCUUUUAGUGAGCUGACCUUCAUAAGAGCGUCUCCAUUUUCUUUGUUUUGUUUGUCCCUCAUUGGUGAGACAGGGAGGCUGGGGAAGGUCGAGAUGGGUAUAUCCAUUCCCCCAGGUUGGUUAGGGUCUGGUAAAACCUCAGCAGGUUAGGCUCUAGUAAAUUUCUCUUGAGGGCAGGCCUUGUUAGGAAGAAUGGAAAUGUCUGGGUGUGUUUAAGAAAGGCCAUUUCCCCUCCCCCACACAGACGUAGGAAGGGCUUCUUCUCCAUCUUCCCUGUGAGAACCUGCAGGACUCCAGCAGGCUGCACUCCCAGAAGUGUGGGAGCCUCCCUGGAGGUUAACCCACCUGGCCUCCCGCACCUCGCCCGUCACACUUCAGCUCUUCCCCCCCAGGCGCCGGUUCCCACAGACUGGUUGCUGCUCUGGUGAGUUGCGACUCUGCAUCUGCCGGUUGACUCCAGGCUUUGUCAACAGGAAGAAGCAGACCUGUCCUGAUGAAUAUAAUAGUAAAGCUAGUCACAGCCCUUUGGGGAUGAGGGCCUGAGUUAUUGGGGAGAAAGCUUGGGAAGACCUAAGAGCAGGAGAUUAGGAACCUGUUGGAGAGGGGAUCAACGCUCAUAUAGCCGGGAGAAGCCUGGAAACUGACAGAGGGCAGAAGCAGAGCGGUUUCUACGAGAAGAGGUAGGAUGAGUGGCAAAACAACCCUCCAGCCGGUGGCGGCAGGUAAAAGGAAAUCCUGUGUGUGUGUCUGGCUGGCCGCUGGACGAGGGAUUGGUGAUGACUGCCCUGUCGUCCUCCCUGCGUGCAUGGACCUGCGUGUUAUCACCCAGGAAGUUCUCUUUCAGCAAACUGAGAAGGGGGUGUGCCCGAGUCAACCGUGAGCCCACCUUCGUGGGCUGUGAUGACUGUCCUUUGUGAUGCCUCCUCGGGGUGUUUUUAAGAAUAAAAUCAUGAGGGAGACCUUUAACCAUAGAGGAAGGUUUUGUGGAGUUAAACCAGCAUUUCUCAACCCCAGACUGUUGACGCCGGUGGCAGGACGCUUCUCUGUUGUGGAGGCUGUCUCAUGCGUUGUAGAGUGUUUGGCAACACCCACCCAGAUGCCAGGAGCAACAUUCUUAGUCAUAACACCUCCAUGGACUGCAGCACACCAGGCUUCCCUGGUCUUCACUAUUUCCUGGAGUUUGUUCAAACUCAUGUCCACUGAGUCAGUGAUGAUGCCAUCCAACCAUCUCAUCGUCUAUCGCCCCUGUUUUCCUCUUGCCGUCAGUCUCUCCCAGCAUCAGGGUUGCUUCCAAUGAGUCAGCUCUUCACAUCAGGUAGCCAAAGUAUUGGAACUUCACCUACAGCACCAGUCCUUCCAAUGAAUAUUCAGGGUUGAU